rnacentral:rRNA from 1 species
AACGAACGCUGGCGGCAGGCUUAACACAUGCAAGUCGAGCGGGCGUAGCAAUACGUCAGCGGCAGACGGGUGAGUAACGCGUGGGAACAUACCUUUUGGUUCGGAACAACACAGGGAAACUUGUGCUAAUACCGGAUAAGCCCUUACGGGGAAAGAUUUAUCGCCGAAAGAUUGGCCGCGUCUGAUUAGCUAGUUGGUAGGGUAAUGGCCUACCAAGGCGACGAUCAGUAGCUGGUCUGAGAGGAUGAUCAGCCACAUUGGGACUGAGACACGGCCCAAACUCCUACGGGAGGCAGCAGUGGGGAAUAUUGGACAAUGGGCGCAAGCCUGAUCCAGCCAUGCCGCGUGAGUGAUGAAGGCCCUAGGGUUGUAAAGCUCUUUGUGCGGGAAGAUAAUGACGGUACCGCAAGAUAAGCCCCGGCUAACUUCGUGCCAGCAGCCGCGGUAAU